rnacentral:rRNA from 1 species
AUUGAACGCUGGCGGCGUGCUUAACACAUGCAAGUCGAUCGGUAACGCGGGGGCAACCCUGGCGACGAGAGGCGGACGGGUGAGGAACGCUUGGGAAUCUGCCCAUCAGCGGGGGACAACCCGGGGAAACCCGGGCUAAUACCGCAUACGCUCUACGGAGGAAAGCCGGGGACCGCAAGGCCUGGCACUGAUGGAUGAGCCCAAGUCGGAUUAGCUAGUUGGCGGGGUACCGGCCCACCAAGGCGACGAUCCGUAGCUGGUCUGAGAGGACGAUCAGCCACACUGGGACUGAGACACGGCCCAGACUCCUACGGGAGGCAGCAGUGGGGAAUAUUGGACAAUGGGGGAAACCCUGAUCCAGCGACGCCGCGUGGGUGAAGAAGGCCUGCGGGUUGUAAAGCCCUUUCGGUAGGGACGAAAGCUCUCGACCUAACACGUCGGGAGGUUGACUUAACCUACAAAAGAAGCACCGGCUAACUCUGUGCCAGCAGCCGCAGUAACAC